rnacentral:tRNA from 1 species
GCCGGGGUGGCGGAAUGGUAGACGCGCUAGCUUGAGGGGCUAGUGAGCGUAAGCUCGUGGGAGUUCAAAUCUCCCCUCCGGCACCA